rnacentral:rRNA from 1 species
CCGAUGCAAACUGCGAAUACCGGAGAAUGUUAUCACGGGAGACACACGGCGGGUGCUAACGUCCGUCGUGAAGAGGGAAACAACCCAGACCGCCAGCUAAGGUCCCAAAGUCAUGGUUAAGUGGGAAACGAUGUGGGAAGGCCCAGACAGCCAGGAUGUUGGCUUAGAAGCAGCCAUCAUUUAAAGAAAGCGUAAUAGCUCACUGGUCGAGUCGGCCUGCGCGGAAGAUGUAACGGGGCUAAACCAUGCACCGAAGCUGCGGCAGCGACGCUGAUGCGUUGUUGGGUAGGGGAGCGUUCUGUAAGCCUGCGAAGGUGUGCUGUGAGGCAUGCUGGAGGUAUCAGAAGUGCGAAUGCUGACAUAAGUAACGAUAAAGCGGGUGAAAAGCCCGCUCGCCGGAAGACCAAGGGUUCCUGUCCAACGUUAAUCGGGGCAGGGUGAGUCGACCCCUAAGGCGAGGCCGAAAGGCGUAGUCGAUGGGAAACAGGUUAAUAUUCCUGUACUUGGUGUUACUGCGAAGGGGGGACGGAGAAGGCUAUGUUGGCCGGGCGACGGUUGUCCCGGUUUAAGCGUGUAGGCUGGU